rnacentral:lncRNA from 1 species
CCCGAACCUUCCCUAUUCAACCCGACCCGACGAAUUCCCCAUCCUCCUUAAACCUUCGCUCGACGCCUUCAAGAUCGCGCUUGACGCUGCCAACGUGGAUCCUCGUCGUACGGUAAGACGACGAAGUCAGCAACCUCAACCAAAAUCGUGAUUGAUUUCAAUAACUGAACUUGAUCCAAGUUAAAUUAGACCCAAAUGUCUCGGAUAAAAUUUUGGAUUCUAAUUUUAUAAUAAAAUAAUGGUGAUUAAGGGAAAACUCUAUUAAAAUUAGUCAACCAAAUUUUCCUACAAAAAUUAUCAUAAAAUUAAUCGUGCACAAAAUCAAUCCUAUGAGUAUGGUUAUAAAAAAUAGUCAACAAACGAAACGGGUCGUCACUUCCUUGUUUCGGCGAUGUUGUUUUUUGACAGUGAAACCCAAAUUAGAUUAUUAUUUAAGGAAAUGUUAGAAAGGAUCGUUUUUAAUUUUUUAUAAGAAAUCAUUGUGAUGGAUAAUGAUUUUCUAGAUUUUAUGCUAUAUAUUGCAGUUGUUUCUGGAUGACAGCGUUCGCAAUAUUGCCGCGGGAAAAGAAAUGGGUCUCCACACUGUUCUGGUAAUUUCCUAAACGACGUCGUAUAAUCAUAAAAACUAGUAUUAUUAAGGUGAUUUUAAUGUAAAAUAUUGAAUGUUAUAGGUUGGGAAGACAAUGAAAAGCAAAGGAGCUGACUAUGCUGUGGAGAGUGUGCAUAACUUGGCACAAGUGAUCCCAGAGAUAUGGGCAAACGAAAUGGACGGUGGUGAUCCAACGAUGACACGUUCGAAGAGUGAAUUGGAGGCCGUACUCGCUUGUGCUCUGGUUGGAGCUUGAAAAUUGACGUUGUACAAAAAUGUACAUUCCCAACCAACCCAACUAUCUAUGCAAUUAAAAAUAAUAGUACAGUAGUAUAAAUAGUAUCAGACCACCAAUAGCG